GCUGGGCGCGGGGACCCAGAAGGGCCCGAGAAGGGCGGGGCGGGCCCCUGCGGCCGCACGCGGGGCUUUUGGGAACGCGUUUGUGCACGUGUGUGGGCAUGCUUGCAUAGGUUUCCCGUUUUCCCGGAAAUUCGCUGCUGUGGACGACGGGACGUUAGGGGUUUAUGGGGUAGGCUUCAGCAACAACGGGGAGAUGAUAAAGAAUAUGAACUUUAGGUCCUGAUCAGCUGGAGCCUCCUCUGACAGUUACUAAGGGCUUUGCAACCCUUGCCUUUGCCGCAGACAACUUAGCAUGUGCCCCCAACUCUUCCAGAAUCAACAUUUCUAAGCACCUACAUCCCUACUCUUUAAGUUGAACACCUUUUUCCUGUGGAGAACCGACUCCAUGUGAUUGGUCAGAGGCUGGCUGGAGUACCCCAUCUGCCAGGCCACAGUGAUGGCUCUGGAAUCAGCAAGUGACCCCAGCCAGGCUAAUCCGAACACUCUCUGGAGUUUGGCUGCUGGAGCUCUCAGGAAGAACUGCCUCUUUCCACUGGGCAGUUAAGCCGAAGACCAGAUAAGCUUAAAGCUUCCCACCACCAUCCCUGGCAGUAGGAGGGAAGCUGUCUGCAGAAAGAAAUCAAUACGCAGAGAAAGACAGAAUGAGAGGUGGAGAGAGAAAGUGGGAGCCCUAGCAACACUGUGUGAGGCUCACUAUCUCAACUAGACUACAGCCUGCUAUAUCCCAGACCUCAGGAAUGUGAACCAAUAAAUUCUCUUUUACGUGAUUGUAUUUCCAGGUCUCCAAGGAAAAAAUUCCUGAGUGCCUUAUUCUAAAAAUACAAAUAACCUAGAAACCAGUUUUGAUUCAUCUGAAAAUCUCUGUGGAACAAGGCAGGAGGAUACAGGGAGAAAGGGAGAGAUGGAAGGAUGACAAGAAAGAAACUGACUAUAUGAGAAAGGCAUAUAUACAAGUUCAAAAGCAAAGUUAUUUCCAAAGGAUAGCUUAGUUUUUGAAGCCAGACUGCCUUGGCUUGAAUUCUAGCUUGGGCACUUAUAAACUGUGAUUUUGAUCAAGCUAUUUAACCUCUUCAUGCCUCAGUUUUCUCAUCUGGAAAAAUGAGGAUGAUGAUAGCAUCUAUCUUACAGGGCUAAUGUGAGGAAUGAGUCAGGGCAAGGCCUGCAAUAUAACAGGCACUCAAAAAACACCGGCUAUACCAGGCACAGUGGUUCACACCUAUAAUUCCAGCAAUUUGGGAGGCCGAGGGAGGUAGAUCACUAGAGGUCAGGAG